rnacentral:rRNA from 1 species
UGGGGAAUAUUGGACAAUGGGCGCAAGCCUGAUCCAGCAAUGCCGCGUGGGUGAAGAAGGUCUUCGGAUCGUAAAGCCCUUUCGACAGGGACGAUGAUGACGGUACCUGUAGAAGAAGCCCCGGCUAACUUCGUGCCAGCAGCCGCGGUAAUACGAAGGGGGCUAGCGUUGCUCGGAAUUACUGGGCGUAAAGGGCGCGUAGGCGGCUUGGCCAGUCAGGCGUGAAAUUCCUGGGCUUAACCUGGGGACUGCGCUUGAUACUGCCAGGCUCGAGGCCGAGAGAGGGCGGUGGAAUUCCCAGUGUAGAGGUGAAAUUCGUAGAUAUUGGGAAGAACACCGGUGGCGAAGGCGACCACCUGGCUCGGUACUGACGCUGAGGCGCGACAGCGUGGGGAGCAAACA